rnacentral:rRNA from 1 species
UACGUAGGUGGCAAGCGUUAUCCGGAAUUAUUGGGCGUAAAGGGUGCGUAGGCGGUUUAUUAAGUCUAUGGUGAAAGUGCGGGGCUCAACCCCGUAUGGCCAUAGAAACUGGUAGACUUGAGUGCAGGAGAGGGCAAUGGAAUUCCAUGUGUAGCGGUAAAAUGCGUAGAUAUAUGGAGGAACACCAGUGGCGAAGGCGGUUGCCUGGCCUGUAACUGACGCUGAAGCACGAAAGCGUGGGGAGCAAAUAGGAUUAGAUACCCUAGUAGUCCACGCCGUAAACGAUGAAUACUAAGUGUUGGAGAAAUUCAGUGCUGCAGUUAACGCAAUAAGUAUUCCGCCUGGGGAGUAUGCACGCAAGUGUGAA